AGCGAUCUCCCGUCACUCAGCCAACACUCCCACCCGCGUUUUUUAGGGAAAAUUUUCUGUCAUCUGCCAUUUCGUUUUGUGGGCGUGGACUGCAUCAUUCAGUACAGACCUCUAUUCUGGUUCUUAUGAGCACGCAGGGCAGGUCAGCUCCUUCAGAGAAUUGAAUCCUGAGGUCUUUGCAGAGCACUUGGCAGAAAGGAGCAAAAUAAAUGGAAGGGAAGACAAGAAAGCUUAUGCAGCAUGUGUUCUGGACUUAUUUCAACCAUCCAGGCAUCAAGCAACAGAAGAAAGAAGAUAAAGGUAUAUGCUGCUGUGGCUGGUGGCAUGAUGGGAACAGCAGGAGGAAGUUGAUGGAUGCCAGCUUGGAAGAGGAGUUGGAGCAAAUUCUUCAUAAGGAAGAUGCUGCCUGUCCUGCAGAUGCCCACAAUUUCAUGUGUGAUGACGGCUCACGCGGACCAGCCCCACCAAAACAAUUACUUCCAAUUUACUUUAAAAAGGGGUUUGUCGUUCUAUCAACCAUCCCCAAUCACUGCCACCCUCUGAUUUUCCAACUUUAGAAAAUCACAGGUAUCUUCUGAUUUUCAUCAGCCUUCAGUUCCAAAAAAGAAUAUGCAGGGGCAUUUUAAGAUUUUCCUUUUAUUCACCAUUGUACCUUCAAUACUGUUACAUGCAUAACACUAACUACAGUAAACACUUGAUAAAACCUAAGACAGUAAAGUGGCUUUUCAUGGAGUCUGGGACUGGAGACUGCUGGGCCAGUCUGAACUAGAUUCUUAAAAUAGGCCCUUUCCUUGCUGUGUGCCUCAAGGGCACUGCUUUAACCAUUGUUUUAGUUGGUUUUUUUUUUUUCACUUUUUAUGUAUUUCUGGAUACAGGUGUUCAAGUAUUGCAUCCUUUUGCACGUGGUAGGAGACCUGUUGCUGAUUUUACCAGUGUUGUCUGGGUUUCGAAAGUCGGCUCUGAAUGUCUGCCCUCUAUUCCCUCCAACUGCCGGCAGUCAGAAGUCGUAAUUUAUCAAACUGCCAGAAUCUGUUUCUUAUUAGCGAACUUUCCCUUUAACACUUUAAAUCUGGGCUCAUCGUUCAGCUUAUUGCAUGAUGCCAGAAUCUGAUUAUGCUUCAGCUACCAUCUAAAGCCUUCCCUGUUGCCAGGUCCAUGAAUGCUUUCUAUUAGCCUUUCUCACCCCAGAAAAGCUCUUCAUAGUGUAAUGAAAAUUGUAAUGUAAUUGUAAUGAAAACUAUCACAGUUCAGGCGCACAAAAACGGAGUUGGGCAGCCACUGAGGAUCUGGUCUUAGACAUGUCCCUGCACCACAAGAACUUGAAUUUGCUGUGAAUGUAUCAAACCGAGGACAUCACCAGCCAUAUCUGGAGCAACAGUUGUUAGCAACAACUUUGUGGUCUCAAGUUUACCUCUUGUUACUGUGCAACCAUUUCAGACCCCAACCAAUCCUUGCUUAUCAAGCACCCCUACUUCUUGCCAGCUCCAAUUGUAAUUCUUGACAAGUAAGUUCCGUAACUGUGGUUUGCAGUUUUUGCCUUUAUAAGCUUCCUCCAGUUAUGUAGUCUAGAGGAACACAAUUCAAGUGCUUCUUGAUUCUGUGUUUCCCAGACUACAGUCCUAACAAACCCCAGAUAAACGCCUCCUUAUUUCAAUUAGGUCUCUGUUUCUGAAAUUUUUGAUUAACACUAUCAUGGCUUAGAACUUUGGUUAUCUCCUCUGCAUGCCGCAUGCUGCCUCAGUUUGAAUCUUCUAACAACACAAACUCGUACCUUUCAAUGUGGAAAGUCAGUUUCAAAUAAAAGUCUUAUGAUUAAUCAACAAUAAUCUCAGGGGAAAAUUAUAGAUAUUGGGGGGGGAUAUUGUUUUAUUUUGCUUUGGAUACAGUGAGUCAGAGUUCAACCUUCUUUUCUUUUCUACCUCCCCAGCUUCCAUAAGGUUAAUUAGUAUGCACAUACACAAGAGCACACCCCCCCAUACAUUUUACUUCCAAGCAGAGACAAAAAAUCAGUUUAAGUUAAUGGAUCUUGACUCGGAAAAACACUGUCUAACAGUGUCAAAGAGAUGGUCUAGCUUCCUUGGGCAGUGCUGACUCAUCGAAGACAGAUGUUAACUUAUAUGAGCUCUAAAAUUUGAACAAAACCGAAAUGUAUCAUUAGUAAGCCUUAUGAAAUGUUUCUCAACAAACACUGGGGAUGGACACACACACACACACAGGCAGACUUAGAGCUUCCAAUCCAUUCUGUUCCAUUCUGAUUUUGUCUUAUUGCACUAUUCUCUGCUUGGAUAUUAUUUUCCAUAAACUAAACUUGAACAUAAUUAUUUGAUUAUCAUACUGAGGCUCAUUUUUAAAUGAAAGGUGAAUUUUGGUAAUUUGUGUAACAAUGCAAACUUAAUUUCCCUACUAGUAAAAUUAGGUAGUGAUACUGCCUAAUGGCAGGGAAAAGGAAAUUCCCAGAGAGGCUACAUUGGAGGAAGAUGGGCAAGGAACUGGGGUGGCUCAAGGACAUGCCCAUGUUUACAUCACCUACCUAAUAAAUAACUUGGCCACUAAAGCUAAUGCUUUCUUCUAUAUUGGAUUUGUUCUUAUUUAUUUUUUGAGUUUAUAACUUCAGAACUUAUAGGGGGAGAUAGGAUAAGAUUGAGGCAUGGAAGGGACCCAGACGAUUGUGGCACGAAAGUCAUUUCUUUGUGGUUUGUGUAGACUACGAAAACCAGAUAUGGACUUAUGUUGUUGUCAGAAGCUCCCCUGGUCUCCAAGGCUGGUAAAAGCAGAGUAAGCAGAUGCAGAGCCAUGCCGCCCACUGCCCCAACCCACAAAACAGCCAACCAUCCCCUAAAACUCCAAUACGGUUUGGGUGGUGAAAAGCGCCGAGAGUGAAAUGAAGAUCUGACAAGGAGAAGCAGCAGAAAUUGAGCCAAGAAAAGGCCACUUAAGAAGAAAGCAAUGGGCUGGGUAAAGUUAACAAGCCACAGGCUAACGUUUCAAUAAGGCUGGGAUCAAAAACACUUGCGUGGCACCGCCCAGCGUCCGUCACGUGGGCGCCGUGGGAAGAGGGCUUGUGUAGGGGCCCAGAGCUGCACGGAGAAGCUUUGCUGCCUGUAACCUGCGGUUCUGGGUUUCGGCUCUCCGUGGACUCCACCAGCCGCUGCCCUUGUGGGUUGUAGAGGAGCCUCGGCAGCAGCGCAAGCGUGCACAGAGCUGAGCCGGCCACUGCCCCUGGAGCCCGAGGGCAGGAAGGAGGUGCUGUUCCCGAACCUGACUUCCCAUCAGUCCCAAAGUGCUCCAGGUAAGAAACUGAUGCCUUUCCCAGGCAGCAACUCUGAACAGCUGGAACUGCAAUCCAGAGUGAUUGGUACCCAGUAACCUGAUUCUCCUACUGCUGAAGAUGGUCUUCUAAGAAGAUAAAAGGAGAUAAUACCAGAGUUGCUAAAUUCCUCUAUCCGUCUGGACCCAGAAUAAUGCAGCAGCCACUAUGUUGAACGUCAAUGGCCUCUAUAACACACAGAAAAGUGAGAUGUCUGGAGACUCUUACACCAACAGCUAAAUGCUUUGCCUGGGAAAUAACUCUGUUACUUCCACAAACAGCUUAUUAACUGGAAUAAAUUCCAUGCAUAUAUUGUUUGUAAUUGUUAUAUUUUCCUGAAGAUGUGUUUAUCAUUAUGAGCUCUCCUUCAUCUCUAGUAAAAAUUUUUGUCAUGAAGUCUAUGCUAUUGGUAAAGUCUGAUAUUCAUAUUGCCAUACCAGAUCUCUUUUGGUUACUGUAUGCAUGGUGUGUCUUUAUCCAUUUUAUUAUUCUCAAUCUAUAUGCCUUUGAAUCUAAAGUGUGUUUCUGGAAGACAGCAUAGAGUUGUAUAAUUUUUUAAAUCAUUCUUCCAUUCCAGCCUUUAAUUGGUAUGUUUUCUCCCAUUUACAUUUAAUUACUGAAAAGGUUAUAUUUGUGUCAUCCGUUUGCUAUGUUUUCUAUGUGCCUUAUAUCAUUUUUUCUUUUCCUCUCUUACUGCCUUCCUUAGUGUUAAAUAAUUGUUUUAUAGUACAUCUGUGUGAAAAAUAAUUAAUUUUACUCAGUGAUCUGGCCUCUGCCCUUAUUAGUUCCUGGGGUAUAAUAUCUAAGACUUUGGAACAUCUAGACUCAUAAGAGUAUAUUUGUUUAUGUGGGGACUUUGAGCCACAGGAGAUAGUAACAAUGUGAUUUAUUGUGAAGAUUCGAGGUUAUGAAGUAUUAGCUUGACCUUUGGAGGGACUGGAGGCAAAAGAUCAGCCACAUAUGUGGUCAUCCAUAUCUACAUGACAACACACUAGUAAAAACUUUGGGCACCAGGGCUCCUGUGAGCUUCUGUCAUUGGCAGUGAUCCAUUUGUCUUCUCUGAACAUAUUGUUGCCAGGAGGAGACAACAUUCUCCAUAACUCUGCUGGGAGAGGAAAAGUGGAAGCUCUGUAUUUGGAACUCUUCCAGAAACUUCCCAAUGUGUCUCUUCCCUUGCCUUAUUUUAAUCUAUAUCCUUUUACUGUAAUAAACUGUAACGGUGAGUGUAACAGUUUUUGGUGAGUUCUGUGAGGGCUUCUAGUAAAUUACCAAGCUAGAGUGGUCUUGUGGAUCUCUGAAUUGGCAAUUGGUGUUAGAGGUAAAGUAGUCUUAUGGCCUAUUUCCUAACUUUACAAUGCCAUUUUAAUUCUCAUGUUGUUUACUAUAUUUUUAAAGUUAAUUACCUAAAUGUAAUUGUUAUGGGGAUUAAUUUAUUAAUUUAACAUUUUAAUUUAAAGCAAUGUAGAUUGAUUUAACAUCAACUUAAUUUUUGUAGUAUAAAAAAUUUUGCCCCACUAUAGCUCCACUCCCCCUUUUUAUGCUAUUGUUUCCAUACAAGCUACAUCUUUAUACAAUAUAAAGCCAAUACAGUUUUACACUUGUUACUUUAUAUAAUUGUCUUUUGUAUCAGAGAUGAGAAUUAUAAACAUACUUUUUAUAUUCUUUUUAAUAGUUCCCUAUGUAUUUACCUUUUCUAGUACUCUUUUGGUAUAGGUUUUAAUUAUAGUCCAGCGUUCCUUUUUUUUUUUAAUUCAGGCUGAAGGACUCUUAUUUAUUACAGAAAAUUUAUGCUAGUGACCCUUUUUCUCAUUGGUUGUUGAUUUGAGAAUAGCUUAACUUCUCACUCAUACAUGAAGAAUAGUUUUGCUCGAUAUAGAAUUCUUGAUUGACAGCCUCUUUUUCUUUAGCACUUUGACUGCCAUUCUAUGCCUCUGGUCUUCAUGAUUUCUGAAAAUAAUUCAACUCUAUCUUUUGAAGUUCGCUUUUAUUUGAUGCAUCACUAUCUCCUGCUUCUUUCAAGAUUUUGUUUUUAGUUUUUGACAGUUCAAAUAUGAUGCAGCAAGGUGUAUAUUUAUUUUAUUCCAGUUGGAAUUUAUUAAGACUUGUGGAUAGGAAAAUUAAUUAUAUUCACUAAAUUCUUGACUCUAUUAGCCAUAAUUUCUUCAAAUAAACAUUCUCCCUCUUUCUUUCCUCUAAGAUUCUCAUUGUAUGUACGUUGUCAUGCUCGAUGGAAUUUCUCAGGUCUCUGAAACUUUGUUCAUUUGCGUAUAACUUUUUAAGAUUUUUUUCUGUGUUCAGAUAGAUAAUCUUAAUAAAUCUAUCUUCAUGUUAGCUGAUUCCUUCUUCUGCCAUUCAAAUCUGCUGUUGAACUCCUCUAGUGAUUUUUUUUUUAGUUACUAUAAAUUUCAACUCCAGAAUUACUGUAUUGUUCUUUUAAAAAAAAUUUGUUUUCAUUGCUGUUCCCUAUUUGAAGAAGCAUUAUUCACAUACUCCUUUAAUUUCCUUGAUAAGUUUCCUUUAGUUAUUUGAGCAUAUUUAUAAUAGUUCAUUAAAAAUCUUUCUAGGUUCUAAAUCUUGGACUCCUUUUUUCUUGUAUAUAGGUAACAAUUUGUUUCCUUAUGCAUUUCAUAAUUUUUUGUUGAACACUGGGCAUUUACAAUAGUAGAUUGUGACAUCUAAGCAUAUAAAAUUUUAUUUUAUUUGGAUUCGUGAUUAAUUGCUAGUGGUUGUUGUCAUUGUAGUAGUUAUUGAUAAUUAUUUGUUUAGCACUUUUCCUGGACUAAUUCUAUAUAGCUUCUAUUCUCUGUUAAGCAUAACCACUGAAGUCAAUGCUUAAUUGGUGUAGUGGUCAGCUAAUGAUCAGACAGGGACAUCCUUAAACACAUUGAAACAGUAAGUCUCCCAGUCUUUGCCUGAGAUCUCUGCAUUCUGUGGGGAAUGCAUUUUUUCCAAUAGGAAGUUUACAAAUCCAAUUUAGCUGUCAUUUUCUGCUUGUGCAGACCCUCGAGUUCAGCCACAGGUGAGAAUUUAGGCCCCUUUCAGUGCUUUCUGUUACAUACACACAACCCUGCACCUCUGUGUGACCUUUAUAUCUCCAUGGUUAUGUCAGAGCUUUAACAAGCUACCUGUGGAAACCUCUUUUUCAUUUAGUCCUUUUAAGACUUUUUAUCAGACUGUUAGCCGCAGUGGGUGACAUACCAGUGAAGAGUGAUAUUAAACCACUGCUGAUUGUUUUCAACAAGUGUCCCAGAGAAAAGGCAGUUGAGAAAUCAAACAGAUCAGUUCUAAGAUCAAAUAAAAACAAAUUCUGAUAAUGGAAUUUCUCAAGGAACCAUCAGAAAUGUCAAAUACUCACCAAACCUAGCUUGCCAUUUGACUGCUAGGUUUCUGGUUUUCAUAGCUACAUUACUUGCAAAGCUGUUGAUAUCCAAGGAUACAACUGACCUGAGAAGAAAAAUAUGGAAAUAGGAUAAGUUAAAAUGCCACCAAGUUCACCUUUUUUAUUGAGAUUUUGCCAUUAUCUGGAUUGUUACAAGCUUUUGAUUAAUUUUCAUAGUUCUGAGAAGUGUUGACUUUAACAGUUGUUGCCAGUGUUGUCAUUAUGUUUGUGGAGGAAUGGACUUUCAGAGAUCCUAUCUCCACCAUUUAGCUAACUUUUCUUAUAAAAAAAUUUUGAGCAAAAUAUUGAACCUGAGAUUUAUAUCAAGCACUAUAAUGAAGACUAAAAAAAAAUUUAAAUGAUGGGGAAAAAUAAGAAAAAAGUCAGAUUCUAAUGGCUCAUUUUUAUGUUUACUGCUAACUUUGAAAUGAGUGAAAUAAAAAAAAAAUGCAUGAGUGAAUAUGUGUAUGUGGGUGUUUGAUUCAGCAGGCUUUGGACUUUGUAAAACAAAUCCUGAAAGAAAAUGAAAUUAAUAUUUUUGAUGAUUUCAUUAUCCUAAACCUUUUGAAGUUAAUGGGAUAUGUUUUAUAAGAACCCAUUUUAUGUCAUGUUUAUAUGGACCUGUAUACUGCACUUGCUGGUCGAAUAAAUACACAAUGGCAGUUUCCCUUGUACUCUUUCAACAACCAGCAAUGCAGUGAAUUUCAGUUAGUCAAGUGACAUCACCUGCAACCCCGGAGGAAUGAGAUCAGAUAAUGUGCAGGACAAUGUCCUUAUGUUGGUAUGAAAAACUUAAUUAUGAACACCAUUGAGGUUUAUUUUGUUGUUGUUGUUAUUGUAUUACUUGUGUACAUGCUGUUUUUUUGGUGAAUUCUAGAAAUAUCCUUUUCUUCCCUUGGAUAUUUUAGUGAUCUUUCAUCUCAGUGUUAUUCAAACAGCUUAGGAUUCUACAGGAAAUGAGAGAGAGUAACAGGCAGUCUCAAGCCAGCAGUCCUCUCUUCAGGGAAAGAUGUCUCCUUUCAUUUCCUAUGUAAUAACUGUGACUUUCAUUUUGUUACAUGUGGUAUUUAAUUCAUCUGGUGGUUCCUACUCUAAUCCAAUUGCUGGCUAAACUAUCAACUUGAUAGGCAGAGAUAUAAGAGGUCAGGAGUACACCUUGGAUUGCUAUAAUUUAUGAAUGUUUAAGAAAUCUCAAAGAGAAACUUAUUUUUCAUUUUCUCUAAGGAAAAGCAUAGUUUAUUGUGACUUUGAUAUUCUUAAAAAUAACGUGUGCUUCCCCUGUGUUUGACAUUAAAUGAAGAUAAAUGUUAUAUCUAUGUCUAAUUAUAUUCUCUCUAGUAUGCCCCAAGUAAUUUUGAUGAAUUUACAUUUAUCAUUAUAUUAUCUUAAGCUAGAAAUACAUAUGUGAAAAAUGUAGCCAAAUAAUUUAGAUUUUAUAGAGAUUCAUUUUCAAGGGCUCUGCUUUAAGAAUUCUAAUAGUCCUCAGACGCCUACAUUACAUCAGACAUACUUUUUAGAUGCUGUGCGUAACAGCAAUGGUGAUAGAAAUCUCAAAGUGGAAAUCCGCACGUCCUUUCUUUCAAGAUGGCUUGUUUUAGCCAAUUACACGUAAAGUGAUGUUGAAACAAGUAAUCCAUAACACCUGCUGGUAAUCAUAUUUGUGAGCUUUAUCUCUAGCAGUGUUAUCAUUCACCAGAUUGUUGCCAAUGGUCUCCUCCUAUUUUUUUACUUGAACUCAUGGGCUGACUAAAAUGAACCUAAAAAUAUUAACCUAAUAACAGCUUUGAAGAAUAACUUGCAUUAUUAAAUUCAUUGCUUGAAUUAACUAAGAAAAUAAUUUAUUUCAACAAAAAACCUGUAAUGAUAGCUCAGUUCACUCUUGUAGAAUCCAUUUAAUGAUA